rnacentral:tRNA from 1 species
GCCUGGGGGGCUCAGUGGUUGAGCGUCUGCCUUUGGCUCAGGGCGUGAUCCGGGAAAUCUGGGAUCGAGUCCCACCUUGGGCU